UCAUUUCCUGCCCAGUUGUUGUGUGAUGAGUAAAGCAGGAGGUCUGAGUGCUGUGAGCUGGUUCUGCCAGAGCCUUAAACAGCACAAUCACCAUCAUCUAAUCAGAUCUGCUGUUCUGUAAAGGCGUUGAUCUGCGUGUGUGCAGGUCCGCCACACGCCGAACACGGCGGAACAUCGUCACGGGUUCUUCAACCAGUUCCAUCCUGUAGUUAAACCAUGUACCAUGUACCAGUUCACGUCACCUAACCCCGGUAGUACAGAGACUCAUCGUAUGACGUUUUUUUGCGAACGUGCGUGCAAGCCGAUUUCAGUCUCAGCCUUUCUUCAUGUGUCCUGUACGUGUGUGUUUGUGAAGUGCUGAGUGGACACUGUUGAAGGUCCUGCUGUCAGGAUUUCUGUAACCCUGUACGGUUCCUGUAAGUACUUGUUAGGACAACGGGUCCAGAAAUCAAAUAAAUGUUAAAUAUUACAGUAAAAUGUC